CGCACGGUACCGCAUGGUACAGUGUGAAAAACUCCGGUGGUGUGAGAUGGAUCCGCGUCUGAUUAGGUAGUUGGUGAGGUAACGGCCCACCAAGCCGACGAUCAGUAGCCGACCUGAGAGGGUGACCGGCCACAUUGGGACUGAGACACGGCCCAAACUCCUACGGGAGGCAGCAGUGGGGAAUAUUGCACAAUGGGCGAAAGCCUGAUGCAGCAACGCCGCGUGAGUGAAGAAGUAUCUCGGUAUGUAAAGCUCUAUCAGCAGGGAAGAAAAUGACGGUACCUGACUAAGAAGCCCCGGCUAACUACGUGCCAGCAGCCGCGGUAAUACGUAGGGGGCAAGCGUUAUCCGGAUUUACUGGGUGUAAAGGGAGCGCAGACGGCACUGCAAGUCUGAAGUGAAAGCCCGGGGCUCAACCCCGGGACUGCUUUGGAAACUGUAGAGCUAGAGUGCUGGAGAGGCAAGCGGAAUUCCUAGUGUAGCGGUGAAAUGCGUAGAUAUUAGGAAGAACACCAGUGGCGAAGGCGGCUUGCUGGACAGUAACUGACGUUCAGGCUCGAAAGCGUGGGGAGCAAACAGGAUUAGAUACCCUGGUAGUCCACGCCGUAAACGAAGAAUACUAGGUGUUGGUGGGCAAAGCCCAUUUCGG
rnacentral:rRNA from 1 species